UUCUCUCUCUCUUUCUCUCUCUCCAUGCCAAAAAUGGCAAAUCUGCAGAAUAUAGCAGUUGCAUGUAGCUUUAUUGUGUCCAUUUUGAUGAAAGCAUUUAAUAUGACACUCGAAUUCGCGAUUUUAAAUCACAAACAUGGCUAGGUUGUGAGAUUUGGAAGCACUUAAGGCUUUCAAAUUCAUUUUUGAUCAGGCGGCGCCACAAAAAGAUAAUGCUCUACCCUGCUUAUUUGUUUCGAUAUUAGUCUACAUGUUAAUACUCUAUUAAUGAGGUUUGGUUGCUGAUUUGCCUGUGGUUUAGUUAAGUUUAUAUGGUAAAUAGGCAUGGGUUAGGAUGCAGAUAUGAAGGUUGUCACUUGUUACCUUUUAAGCCAUGUCUGACAUUAACAAGUGGUAUUUUUCGAAAUAGUUUGAAUGUGUAUGCUUAAACAAUGCAAUGAAUGUUUAAAUAUCCCAUAGUAGACUCCAUGAAUAUGCUGCAACAGUCUUAGUGCAGUUAUGGAUGUUGAAGGUCACUUUCUUGAUGUCCAAAUGCUUGAAUCUGACAAGAACAUGAUCACAUAAAUUAUGAUAGUUUGAUGAAAUUUUCAAGCUGAUACAGAUCCUACUAAAUGUAAUAGAACAUUCAUAGUGCUGUGGUGUUUAUUUUGGAGACUCUGAAGUGAUUGUUUCCUUUUGUUGAAUGAGAAUGUGACUCUUUUCUUUCUGAGUCUAUUUUUCCUGAGAUCUUGUAUGCUUGUUUGAUUGUCAACUAAUUGAUAUGAGUCUGUGAUUGGUAUAAAGUUUAGGAAAGAUCAUGACUAGGCUAAAACAAACUUGGAAGAAUUAGACAUGUCUAUAAGAAAUCUAUGGCAAUUGGCUAAGGUAUUUGGAGUUGUGUUUGCCUAUAUUUGUAUGGGUCUGGGGUCUCCCGUGUCUGUUUGAAUUUGCUUAAGAUGGUCAAGUGACUCUGAAUAGUGGUAUAUUGUGCAUUAAAAGGUAACUUUAAAGAAAAUGACAUCUUAGAGUAGGGCAGGGCAGUCUAAAAUGAAGUUAUGAUUUAGGACCAUUCCUAAGAUAAUGGGGUGUCAAAGGCCCAUUAGGAGUUAAUGAGAAAGUCUAUAGAAGCUGUUGAGGUUGCUUUGAAAUAAAAAAGGGAACAUCAUGUGCCAUUAACAGAACUAAGUGUCAUGUUGGGUUUCAUUUGAGUAGAAUUUGGGCUCUGCAUUCAUAUUACCUUAUUUUCUCUGUUUCAUGUCUGAUUUUAUGAAAGGGAGUUUAAGAUAGAUUUAAAAGGUAAUUUAAAGUCUUGAUGUGUAUUUAACUGUCUAAAGAAAUGAUUGAACAGUUGGAGUUGGAAUUUUCUUGAACCUAAAAUUUGAUAUUCAACUUGAGUUUGCUUAGAACUCUUAAGUGACUUAAUUGUCCCACUUUCAUGAGUAUUAAUGACAAAAGGUAUUCAAUGAGGCUUCAUAUGGUAUGAGUUUAAAACUAAAGUGGACUAGAAACUGUUUGGUUAAUAUGAUUAGUUAGGAUUUAGGUAAGGCUCAUUUUUAAAAGGGUGGGCAGUAGCAAACCAUCUUUGUCCAUGAGUUUGGUAGUUGGCAUUUGGUAGGAGAGUGAGGUAAAGGGUUGGGGUUUGCUUUGGGAGAUUAAAAGGUGAGCCUAGGUACGAGCUGGAGGUAAUGACCAGUGGAACCUGGGAUCCCUUUUUGCUAGUAGUAAGGUGCAGGAAAGGGAUGGGGAGGUGAUGACCUCACCCUAUCCUGCCCUUCUUUCAGGACCCUAAGGCUUCUUCAACUCCUUAGACCUUACUCUCAUGACUAUGGGAGUUCAGUGAGAGUUGAUAAUUGGCCAAGAAUGGUUUGCCCAGCCUUGGGGAAAAUUCUUGUGAUUUCUUAUUGUCUAAAACUAAAUCAGAAUAGAGGGACAGUCACUUGUUAUAUCUUUGGCAUGCCUUGGGGUCUUUUGAAUUUUAUGUUGUCCAAAACUAAGUUUGAAACAAAAGUAGGCAUCCUUGUCAUGAUUAGAAAGGUUGAAUUGCCACUAACUGAGUCCUAAAAAGGUGAAUUGCUUUUCUGGUGUCUCAUCCAUGUUUCUCUUCUUUUUUAGGGUUUGCUUUGUCUGGUUGCUUGCUUGCCCUUUAGAGGGAUGAGUUUUAAGGUUGGUAUGGUUUUUUUUAUGUGAGUACUGUGGUCAUGUGAAGACACCUAACUGAGUCUAAACUUAGAAAUGAACAUUUGACUGAUCUUAAAUUAGUAAAGACUUUUCACUUCUUGAACUAGAUAGUGUCACCUAGACUUUACUGAAAACUGCAGUAUAACCUUGACUAAAAAUAAGAACUGUGAUCUGCCUAGUAAUAAUUAGUCCUGCAUCAGUAGUAUUUUAAAGUCUUAUUAAACACAAAAUUAGGAGAAUGAAAUGACUAGUGUUAUUGUGCUUAUGCUAAAAUGAAUGGUGUUCAAUGGGAGUUGGACUGAUAUUAGUUAUAGAGGUGUGUCAAGUACUCCUAAGGACAAUAUGGGCCACUUGGUCUAGAUUGGUAUUUUCAAGACACCUCAAGAGGGGCAGAGAAGAGCCAAGCUCAGCUUGACUCAUAGUAUCUACCCCCAAAUGGGGGGUGUCAUGACCAGUCUCUAUGCCAUGGGGGACAUCCUUGUCUUAAAGGGAUAGGAUUUCCUUAAAUAAAGAAAUAAGACCCGAAGGUAAAAAGGUUUAGGAAAUUUAGCAUGAUGAAAGGUGUAGGGUGCACCUAGGAGACUAGGAAUAAUGAAUGAGAUCAUUUUAAGAAGUUAGUCUUUAGUGUCUAGUAAAUAAACUAGUCUGAGUUUGUAGGUAGUAAGUGUCAUCUGCUAGGAGUUUAAAGGAAUUGGAUAAUGUGAAGAUUGGGUCUUGAACUUCAUUCUUUUUCUUUUUAGGUCACUUAGUGCAUUUAUAAUUGAUUUCUGUCCCUGUCCAUUUUAAGUAGUAAUUGGUAUGAGGAGGCUUUAUUGUAACAUGAUCAUUUAUCUACUGUAUUAAUACAAAGAUUUUUUUCUGUAGUCUUUUAUGGGAUUAUAAAACUGGACAGUCCCAGUUUCAUUUGGUGUUGUUGUUUAGGCUCCAUGAUGUUACAGUCCUAUCUCUUGAGGAUUACAAGUUGUGGAAUUUCCCCUUUGUUUGUAUCCUUUUAUUGUGCUUCUGUGAUCAUUUUAAACAAGUUUUAAUCUUCUAUCCCAAGACCUGCUAUAAAUAUAUGAAUUGACAAAUCAUAACUUUAAUGUCAUGGAGAUUAAGGUUGGGAUUUUGAUUAACUUUGCCUUGUGCAUAGCAUUUGGACAUGUAAGAAUAGAAUUAAAAUAUAGACUCUACCUAGACUUGUAAAAUAAGGGGAGUAUACACAUGGUAUACACUUGGUAUACACAUAUCAUGUGUAUGGCAAGGAUAUAUUAUGUGUAUACCUAUAAGAAAGUAGGCUGGUUAUUGGCAGGAUACAUAUGUGUAUAAAAGAAUAUGUCUUGUUUGGACCAUUUAUUUAAUCAAGAAUUCUGAAAGUGUUAUAUAUAUUGAAUGUAUGUUAUUACAUUACUGUACUCGUCCGCUCUUUCAUCUUGAUUCUGAAUUCAUUUAAAAGCCACUUAUAUUCAAAAUAUUUCCUACAAGUUGAUACUUGUGCACGACUUUGAGACUAUGAUUAUAUACUGUGGCCACACCGGUUCGUUUGGGAGUUUGAGGAGGUUUUGGAGGAUAGGUCUAGCCACUCCCCGAUAUCCAGCCAUGCCGGGGGUUCAUGAAACCCCUUGGAACUUGUGCGGUGUCGGGAAAAAGGGUGGUGACAACCUUUUCCCAUCGGUAUAUCAUGGUUUGAAAUUUUCCAGUGGAGCAAUGGUAUAUGAUUAAGUCUUUUGUUGUGCACUUGUGAUCAUAUGGGGAGAUAUGUCUAUAUAUAUGCAUAUAUUACGCUUAUGACAAAAUCAGGUCCAUCAAACAUAGAUUUAAUAAAUAGGGACAUGCAUGUAUAUGUAUGUAUAUGAAUGUAUAAUCCUGAUAGUGAUUAGAUCCAUCCGGACCUAUACUAAUUCAACUCCUUUUCCUUUUCCUCCUGCCGCACGGCCACUUGGGCCAGAGUCUUGGCCCAACAUGAGCAUUCUUUCAAAUUGUGUAAGUCUAAACUGAAAGCUAAUAUUAUGAAGGCUCAGCCAUGGGUGAGAAUGGCAUGAAGGCCCAGCCAUGGGUAAAAAUGGUUUUUAAGGGGGUUUGGUACACCCCCUAACUCACUUCUUUCCUCCUUUUAAUUUCAGCAUAUCAAUCUUUUCUUUUAUGUGAAAUUUUGUACUUGUAUAAACUCACAUUAUUAUUGGAAUCUUUACAUUUGAA